rnacentral:rRNA from 1 species
GGCUCAGUAACACGUAGUCAACCUACCCUAUGGACAAGAAUAAUCUCGGGAAACUGGGCAUAAUUCUUGAUAGAUCAUAAUGCCUGGAAUGGUUUAUGGUUAAAAUGAUUCGUCGCCAUAGGAUGGGACUGCGGCCUAUCAGCUUGUUGGUGAGGUAAUGGCCCACCAAGGCGAUUACAGGUACGGGCUCUGAGAGGAGAAGCCCGGAGAUGGGUACUGAGACACGGACCCAGGCCCUAUGGGGCGCAGCAGGCGAGAAAACUUUGCAAUGUGCGAAAGCACGACAAGGUUAAUCCGAGUGAUUUCUGCUAAAGAAAUCUUUUGCCAGUCAUAAAACCACUGGUGAAUAAGGGGUGGGCAAGUUCUGGUGUCAGCCGCCGCGGUAAAACCAGCACCUCAAGUGGUCAGGAUGAUUAUUGGGCCUAAAGCAUCCGUAGCCGGCUUUGUAAGUUUUCGGNUUAAAUCCAUGUGCUCNACGCAUGGGCUGCCGAAAAUACUGC